rnacentral:rRNA from 1 species
UACGUAGGGGGCUAGCGUUGUCCGGAAUCAUUGGGCGUAAAGAGCGUGUAGGCGGCCUUUUAAGUCCUGCGUGAAAUCCUGCGGCUCAACCGCAGACGGUCGUGGGAAACUGGAAGGCUAGAGUGCGGGAGAGGAGAGUGGAAUUCCCGGUGUAGCGGUGAAAUGCGCAGAUAUCGGGAGGAACACCAGUGGCGAAGGCGGCUUCCUGGCCUGUUCUUGACGCUGAGGCGCGGAAGCUAGGGGAGCAAACGGG